rnacentral:rRNA from 1 species
UACGUAGGGUGCAAGCGUUAAUCGGAAUUACUGGGCGUAAAGCGUGCGCAGGCGGUUUUGUAAGUCUGUCGUGAAAUCCUCGGGCUCAACCUGGGAAUUGCGAUGGAGACUGCAAGGCUGGAGUCUGGCAGAGGGGGGUAGAAUUCCACGUGUAGCAGUGAAAUGCGUAGAGAUGUGGAGGAACACCGAUGGCGAAGGCAGCCCCCUGGGUCAAGACUGACGCUCAUGCACGAAAGCGUGGGGAGCAAAAAGG